AACGAACGCUGGCGGCGUGCCUAACACAUGCAAGUCGAACGUGAAAGUCCUUCGGGGCGAGUAAAGUGGCGCACGGGUGAGUAACGCGUAGAUAAUCUACCCGAUGAUCUGGGAUAACAUUUCGAAAGAGGUGCUAAUACCGGAUAAGCCCACGAGGUCUUAGGAUCUUGCGGGAAAAGGGGGGGACCUUCGGGCCUUCUGUCAUCGGAUGAGUCUGCGUACCAUUAGCUAGUUGGUGGGGUAAGAGCCCACCAAGGCGACGAUGGUUAGCUGGGCUGAGAGGAUGGUCAGCCAAACUGGAACGGAGACACGGUCCAGACUCCUACGGGAGGCAGCAGUUGGGAAUUUUGCGCAAUGGGGGAAACCCUGACGCAGCAACGCCGCGUGAGUGAUGAAGGCCUUCGGGUCGUAAAGCUCUGUCAGAGGGAAAGAAAUGUAUUGUGGCUAAUAUCCACGAUACUUGACGGUACCCUCAAAGGAAGCACCGGCUAACUCCGUGCCAGCCGCCGCCGUAAUAC
rnacentral:rRNA from 1 species